GGCGGAGACCGACAGGAUGAUGCGAGACCGAGCGGGGCGAGGAUGCGCGUCUGACGGCGGCGAGAGGCAGUGAUUUCCCCCUUUGGUUUGGAUGCUGGGAUGGUGGGACCACUUUACAGAGCCGGGUGACGCGCACUAAAAGUCUAACAGAUUGAAGGCUGGAGUGAGAAGAAUGACCACCUCACAGUGGCGGUGAGAGUGGUGAGUUUUUGUUGGAUUUGGUGAUCGAUUGAGCAGGUUCAGCGAUGACGCCCAGGUGGUUUCCAUUGUGCCAAAGCGCACAGCGACCUCUGUUGGCCACACGCGCUGGAAACUGUAUGGAAGCAGCAAAAGACCUCGCAAGUAAUUAGGAGUUUAAAAAAAAAUUAUGUGCGUCUUAGACAUGUCUUACACUUUCAUUAUCCAUUCAUGUAGUGUUUUAUUAUCUGUGCAAAUAAAGACUCAACACCCAUUUUAA